GCGUGCGAUACAGGGUGACAGCCCCGUACACAAAAAUGCACAUAUUGUGAGCUCGAUGAGUAGGGCGGGACACGUGGUAUCCUGUCUGAAUAUGGGGGGACCAUCCUCCAAGGCUAAAUACUCCUGACUGACCGAUAGUGAACCAGUACCGUGAGGGAAAGGCGAAAAGAACCCCGGCGAGGGGAGUGAAAAAGAACCUGAAACCGUGUACGUACAAGCAGUGGGAGCCUCUUAAUGGGGUGACUGCGUACCUUUUGUAUAAUGGGUCAGCGACUUAUAUUCUGUAGCAAGGUUAACCGAAUAGGGGAGCCGAAGGGAAACCGAGUCUUAACUGGGCGUUAAGUUGCAGGGUAUAGACCCGAAACCCGGUGAUCUAGCCAUGGGCAGGUUGAAGGUUGGGUAACACUAACUGGAGGACCGAACCGACUAAUGUUGAAAAAUUAGCGGAUGACUUGUGGCUGGGGGUGAAAGGCCAAUCAAACCGGGAGAUAGCUGGUUCUCCCCGAAAGCUAUUUAGGUAGCGCCUCGUGAAUUCAUCUCCGGGGGUAGAGCACUGUUUCGGCAAGGGGGUCAUCCCGACUUACCAACCCGAUGCAAACUGCGAAUACCGGAGAAUGUUAUCACGGGAGACACACGGCGGGUGCUAACGUCCGUCGUGAAGAGGGAAACAACCCAGACCGCCAGCUAAGGUCCCAAAGUCAUGGUUAAGUGGGAAACGAUGUGGGAAGGCCCAGACAGCCAGGAUGUUGGCUUAGAAGCAGCCAUCAUUUAAAGAAAGCGUAAUAGCUCACUGGUCGAGUCGGCCUGCGCGGAAGAUGUAACGGGGCUAAACCAUGCACCGAAGCUGCGGCAGCGACACUAUGUGUUGUUGGGUAGGGGAGCGUUCUGUAAGCCUGUGAAGGUGGCCUGUGAGGGUUGCUGGAGGUAUCAGAAGUGCGAAUGCUGACAUAAGUAACGAUAAAGCGGGUGAAAAGCCCGCUCGCCGGAAGACCAAGGGUUCCUGUCCAACGUUAAUCGGGGCAGGGUGAGUCGACCCCUAAGGCGAGGCCGAAAGGCGUAGUCGAUGGGAAACAGGUUAAUAUUCCUGUACUUGGUGUUACUGCGAAGGGGGGACGGAGAAGGCUAUGUUGGCCGGGCGACGGUUGUCCCGGUUUAAGCGUGUAGGCUGGUUUUCCAGGCAAAUCCGGAAAACCAAGGCUGAGGCGUGAUGA
rnacentral:rRNA from 1 species